rnacentral:rRNA from 1 species
UUUUUUCUNNACUAANACAAAAUAUUUUAACAGUUAAGUAAAGAAGAUUAAAAACCUUUUAAGAGCUAUAAAUUNGUACCGCAAGGGAAUGAUGAAAUAAAAGUGAAACAAUUCUUAAGCACAAAAUAGUAGAGACUAACCCUCGUACCUUUUGCAUCAUGGUUUAACUAGUCUAACUAGGCAAAAAGACUUUUAAGUCUAACCCCCCGAAACUAAGUGAGCUAUUUUAGGGCCGCUUAAUGAGCCAACCCGUCUAUGUAGCAAAAUAGUGGGAAGACCCUAAAAUAGAGGUGACAAGCCUAACGAACUUAGUUAUAGCUGGUUUCUCAAAAAAAGAAUUUUAGUCCAACCUAAAGUUAUAUAAANUUUNCCAUAAAUUUCCCCCCCANNNNNCUUUAGAGCAACUCAAAUGAGGUACAGCCCAUUUGAUACAGGAUCCAACCUUUACUAACGGGUAAUACCUGAUUCNNCACCCNNCAAGUAGGCUUAAGAGCAGCCACCUUUUAAAAAGCGUCAAACCUUAACUGUAUUAACCNCAAUUCACAAACCCCCAUCGACCCCUUUCACCCUACUGAGAACUUCUAUAAAAUUNAUAGAACCUUUAAUGUUAAAACUAGUAACAAGAGAUAUACNCCUCUCUGUAAUGUAAACUAAAGCCAGCAAGAACCCAUCACUGGCAAUCAACAGANNNNANACAAANGUAGUAAAUUUCUCCAGAAAACUCUACUCCCCUANNNNNNACUGUUAACCUAACACAAGAACAUUCUAAGAAAGAUUAAANGAAAAAGAAGGAACUCGGCAAACAUUAAUCUCGCCUGUUUACCAAAAACAUNGCCUCUUUCACCCNNAUAAGAGGUCCAGCCUGCCCAGUGACUUNUGUUNAACGGCCGCGGUAUCCUAACCGUGCGAAGGUAGNGUAAUCACUUGUNUUUUAAAUAGAGACUUGUNUGAAAGGCACCNCGAGGNUUAAGCUGUNUCCUCUUCCNAAUCAGUGAACCUAAUCUCCCNGUGAAAAAGCGGGAAUUUUUAUAUAAGACGAGAAGACCCCAUGGAGCUUAAAACAUUAUAACACUGCACNCCCCCUACAUUGACAAUUAGANUAUUNAACACCCACGGNCACACUAAUUAUAUGUUUUCGGUUGGGGUGACCGNGGAGGAAAACCCAUCCCCCACGAUGACGGACCCCCCCNNNNNCAAACAAUAAGUUACACCUUUAUGUAUCAACAAAUUGACUUNNAUUGACCCAAUAUAUUNGAUUAACGAACCAAGUUACCCUGGGGAUAACAGCGCAAUCCACUUUGAGAGCCCAUAUCGACAAGUGGGCUUACGACCUCGAUNUUGGANCAGGGUACCCCAGUGGUGCAGCCNCUACUUUCGUUUC